rnacentral:rRNA from 1 species
GACGAACGCUGGCGGCGUGCUUAACACAUGCAAGUCGAACGGAAAGGCCCUGCUUUUGUGGGGUGCUCGAGUGGCGAACGGGUGAGUAACACGUGAGUAACCUGCCCUUGACUUUGUGAUAACUUCAGGAAACUGGGGCUAAUACCGGAUAGGAGCUCCUGCUGCAUGGUGGGGGUUGGAAAGUUUCGGCGGUUGGGGAUGGACUCGCGGCUUAUCAGCUUGUUGGUGGGGUAGUGGCUUACCAAGGCUUUGACGGGUAGCCGGCCUGAGAGGGUGACCGGCCACAUUGGGACUGAGGUACGGCCCAGCCUCCUACGGGAGGCAGCAGUGGGAAAUAUUGCACAAUGCGCGGAAGCAUGAUGCAGCAACGCCGCGUGCGGGAUGACGGCCUUCGGGUUGUAAACCGCUUUCGCCUGUGACGAAGCGUGAGUGACGGUAAUGGGUAAAGAAGCACCGGCUAACUACGUG